CUUAAAGUUCCUCUUGAUCAAAAAUAGCCCCAAAGGGCAUCAGCCUAAUGGCUAAUGUCAGCAUGACCAUAAACCACAAAUAACAUCUCUGACAAGAAACAUUCCAACCCUAAGAUAAACCCCUCCCUGACCAGAGACAUGCCAGCCCUGAGAUAACCUCCCCUCUGGCCAGAGACAUUCCAACCCCCGCAAUAAACUUCUCCUCCACACAGAAACAUUCCAAGCCUGUGGGUGCAGCACCUCGCCCUGCUCUCGCUUCUUCCUUCUCCAGCCAUGUACGACAUGCCUGCUUCCCCUUUGCCUUCUGCCAUGAUUAUGUUUCCUGAGGCCUCCCCAGCCAUGCUUCCUGUACAGCCUGCAUAACUGGGCAACUUAGACAGAUACAGACGCACAUAGAAGAAACAUGAUGUGACGACUAGACAAACAUAGAAAGUAGACGACUAUCUAUAAACCCAUAAAAGAGACCUGGAAUAGAUUAUUUACUCACGGCC
rnacentral:lncRNA from 1 species